GUGCUCGCUUUGGCAGCACAUAGACUAACAUUGGAAUGAUACAGGGAAGAGCAUGGCCCCCGAGCAAGGGUGACAUGCAAAUUCGGGAAGCGUUCCAUAUUUUU
ensembl:snRNA U6 U6 spliceosomal RNA